UACGUAGGUCCCGAGCGUUGUCCGGAUUUAUUGGGCGUAAAGCGAGCGCAGGUGGUUUAUUAAGUCUGGUGUAAAAGGCAGUGGCUCAACCAUUGUAUGCAUUGGAAACUGGUAGACUUGAGUGCAGGAGAGGAGAGUGGAAUUCCUAGUGUAGCGGUGAAAUGCGUAGAUAUUACGCAGAACUCCGAUUGCGAAGGCAGCAUACCGGCGCCCGACUGACGCUGAGGCACGAAAGCGUGGGUAUCGAACAGG
rnacentral:rRNA from 1 species